rnacentral:rRNA from 1 species
GACGAACGCUGGCGGCGUGCUUAACACAUGCAAGUCGAACGGAAAGGCCCUGCUUGCAGGGUGCUCGAGUGGCGAACGGGUGAGUAACACGUGGGUGAUCUGCCCCUUACUUUGGGAUAAGCCUGGGAAACUGGGUCUAAUACUGGAUAGGACCAUGCUGUAGGUGGUGUGGUGGAAAGAUUAGUUUCGGUAAGGGAUGAGCUCGCGGCCUAUCAGCUUGUUGGUGGGGUAAUGGCCUACCAAGGCGUCGACGGGUAGCCGGCCUGAGAGGGUGGACGGCCACAUUGGGACUGAGAUACGGCCCAGACUCCUACGGGAGGCAGCAGUGGGGAAUAUUGCACAAUGGGCGCAAGCCUGAUGCAGCGACGCCGCGUGGGGGAUGACGGCCUUCGGGUUGUAAACUCCUUUCAGCCAUGACGAAGCCUUCGGGUGACGGUAGUGGUAGAAGAAGCACCGGCUAACUACG